CCUACGGGAGGCAGCAGUGAGGAAUAUUGGUCAAUGGGCGAGCGCCUGAACCAGCCAAGUCGCGUGAAGGAUGACGGCCCUACGGGUUGUACACUUCUUUUGUCAGGGAGCAAUUGGGUCCACGCGUGGGCUUAGCGAGAGUACCUGAAGAAAAAGCAUCGGCUAACUCCGUGCCAGCAGCCGCGGUAAUACGGAGGAUGCGAGCGUUAUCCGGAUUUAUUGGGUUUACAGGGUGCGUAGGCGGAAUAUCAAGUCAGCGGUAAAAAUUCGGGGCACAAGCCCGUCGUGCCGUUGAAACUGAUGGUCUUGAGUGGGCGAGAAGUAUGCGGAAUGCGUGGUGUAGCGGUGAAAUGCAUAGAGAUCACGCAGAACUCCGAUUGCGAAGGCAGCAUACCGGCGCCCAACUGACGCUGAAGCACGAAAGCGUGGGUAGCGAACAGGAUUAGAUACCCGGGUAGUC
rnacentral:rRNA from 1 species